UUUUGUUUUGGUUGAUAGGAUCCCGGACAGAUCAUUGUUGUGGACUGUCUGAGUUUUUAAAGAAAAGUGUCGGAGGGCGAAGGAUUGCGGCAACAAAAAAAUACGCACUGCUUUACGGUACCUGGUCCCCGACAACGACCAACCAAGCGGCGGCGGACGUGGUACGGAGGACGCUUCUA